ensembl:lncRNA
CUCAGAGGAACAAUAGAUGGCACACCUGAGGCUGGGCACAUCAUUGUCAUAACCAACAUGGUGUUCACUGGUGAUCUUGACCAGAGUGCUUUCCACAGAGUGGUGGUGGAGAAAUUUUGGUAGGAGUGGAUUCAAAAAGGAAUGGGAGGAGUUGAAAUGGACGUUGAGAGCGAGAAAUUUCUUUUAAGGAGUUUCGCUGUAACUGGGAAGAGAGAGAUCUGACCGUACGUAGAGGGUGUCGUGAGAUCAAGAGGGUCAUCUUUGCUUUGUUUUACAGUGGGAGAGAUUAUGGUAGAGUUGUAUGCUGAUGGAAACUGUCCAGUAUAGAGAGAAAAGCUGACACUGGGGUAAAAAGAGGAGACUGCUGGAGCUGUAUCCUGGAGUAGGACAGAAGGAGGAAGACCUAGCGCACAAGGGGAGCGAUUGACCUUGAACAGAUCACUCCUCCUAACCAGAGGGCACGUGCUACCCACAGUACAGCAGACGCAUCUCCCUGCUGAUUAGGCACCGGCUUCCUCCUCCGUGAAAGAAUGGAGCAGGAAUGCACCGUCGCCGAGAUCUCUCCCAGUUCUGACACGAUCACUGCCUGGCACUUUUCAAAAAUGCCCCAAUUCAAGGAAAGUUCCAAGGGCCUAGCAUUUACCCUCCCAGGUCAACUGGGAAGAAGGAAGAGACGGAAAGAAGAGAAAAGAACACACAACCUCCAAAUAACAGCACGGUGCUUCUGGGCCCAAGUAAAUGGAAGCAGAGCUGGUCAAGGCUGGAGUGCCAAUGGAGUGGGAGCAGCCAGGCCUGAGGGUGGCUGAGCCAGAGCUGCUGCCCCUGCUAAGGUCUAUUACUCACUUAGCCACGCCGCAAGGCUUUUCCCCCAGGCAGCUCAUCCCCCUGCCUCUCUCUGAGUAAUACACACACGAGGCGCGGAGCCAUCACUUACACAAAUAGCCAUGAGCGCCUUCAGACCAGUGUUCGGCUACUAAGAAGGCAGACGCCCUCGAGAGGCCAGAGGGAAAGUGCCUGCUCAAGGGCUGUAGGCACCUCUUCAACUGGCCUCACAGGUGCUUUCUCUGCAGGGCAAAGUGCUGGUCACAAUGGGGGCAAGGGCUGCCCGCUUGUGUCCCAGGGAAGGGGACGUGCACUUUGCCAGUGCUAAGCAAGAGGCCUUCUCUGGAGCAUGGGAAGUGGUGGGUCCAACCCUGGUGCUGGGGCCAGGGCGAGUGGGCGGCUUUGAGGGAGGGAACGUGCCGCGAGCAAUGCCUUCUCUACUCUCCUGCUCCUUCAGGUAGACCUGGCAACAACCUACGAGAGAGGAGGUGGGGCACAGCCCGCUCCCCGGUCCCACGCAAACAUCACCUACUCAGAUUUACUGAAGACCCCUGCAAAGAAACGCAUAAGCUGGAAAGAUGGUGCAGGCCGCUAAAAUACCAUAUCCUCACAGCUACUGUUCCAAACUGAUGACGUGCACAUACUCUCUCUCAGCAUCCAUAUGGCAAAUCUCAAGAAAGAUAAUACACAUACACACGACUUCAGCGGCUGAUAGGAGAUACCGGCAAUUCUGUCAUGGAGGAACGAGUGCUGCACGUGAUGCGGAAGCAGCUAUAUCAAAAACCGCCCUUGCACACUGCCCCCAAAUCACCCGUCCAGAGCCGGAAAAGCCCAUGUCAUGAGAAAUCGUUUCCCCAGGAAUCAUCAAAGAAAGCAGGCAUAUAAACAGCAACAUGGUUUACCGAAAGUGACACUGGUCAGAGGGAGAAGGUGGGAAAGACUCGGGGACAGAAGACAAGAAAGUCUGAUGCUCAACAGAAAGGGGACCCUGGAUUUGGAGAAAAGGGGCCUGAGAUGACAUGUUAUUUAAAGAACUCUGUCUCCUUAAAGUUAUAUACUGCCAAAAAUCUGUAUGAAAAUAUAGUCUUUGGAUUGAGUUGGGCAUCAUAUGGACAUAACAAUUACAUGUUCUUAAAAAUCUUCAUUUUCAUCCAGAUAUUAUACAGACAAGCAACUAGCUUUAGCAAUCCUGCUAGCUAAGCAUUCUGAAACUUUUCUGAAGGGAGAGGGUGAGGGAUGCUUCCAAAAUCCUGAUGAAGAUCCUUCUUCCAAGACAAAAACAAAGACAAAGCUUUGCUCGACAGUUACAGGCAUUUCAUGGGCUGGUUGGACGCCAUAUUACAAAUAUCUGAAGUACUUCUGUACCUCCUGAAUUUACCUCUUAUUUAGCUAUUUUUCACAUGAAUAAUGGACUUGCUAACCAUGGAGAAUUUCCUGACAUAGGAAGCCAUAUGUCAUAAAUAGUAUGUGAUAUGUGAUCAAUAGUAUUGAUAAAUAGUAUAGUCAUAUGUGAUAAUAACUUUUUGUUUCUAAACAUUUUUAGUCCUGAGUAGACAGUGGAUGACAAAGACAUCAUCCUUUUAUCUU